rnacentral:lncRNA from 1 species
AGAGUCGGUGAAGGCUUUAAAGGAAGUAGGCAGCUGGAACCCGGCUGUGGCGGGUUGAAAAGCCCGGGCGUUUGAGAGCUGAGACUUGCCAGUUCCCACAGGCCAAGCCAGGCGUCUGCACCCCAUUCUCUUGGUUCCGACGAUGGAGUCUUGCUCUGUCACCCAGACUGGAGUACAGUGGUGUGAUCUCAGCUCACUGCAACCUCCACUUCCCAGGUUCAAGCGAUUUUCCUGCCCCAGCUUCCCGAGCAGCUGGGACUACAGAAUAUGCUCUCCAUGAGGGUGUUCUUCAGGGCCUACCACAAUGGCUGGCACUAGAGAAGGGCACAAAAUUGAAGAACAGUGAAGACAAAAGCAAUAAGAUGAUUAAGGCCAUGUGAGACAGCAACAAUAUCAGUGUCAACAGUGGCGGAAAGGGAAGUUUGUAUCACCUGUGUUAAUGCUGCUCUGGAAAGGGAGCCAGAAUGAGAGUGCACAGUGAUCACACAGUCACCAUCAAAUAAACCAUGACUACGCACAUACUCUGGGAUGGCUGCAUCUCUCCUGUGGGAAAGAGAGAGAUAGAAAGAGAGAGCAACAUGUCAUCCGAUGACUGCAGCCUAGAUGGAUAUGGCUGUGAUAGAGUGCUUCAAUUGGAAUCUGCCUCUUGUAACUGAAAAUUACUUUAAACAAUAAAAAGAAGUUAUUGACUCAUAGUCAAGAAAGCUUGACAGUGCUGCAGUGCAGUCCUUGGACUACAGUGGUCCACAAACUGUUAUUGGUCCACGAUAAGAUAUCUAUGUGGCUGCAAGAUCCACGUGCAUGACCCUUCUUUCCUACCUUGUUGAUGAUGCUACAGGAUAACGAGAACACCUGGGUUUAAGAGGCAUAGAAGAACCACUUUUUAUAAAGGAUACCUCCAGUGGAUGAAGCUAUAUGAUUCAUCUUUAUUGUGUGUUACAAAAGUAUCAGUCAAUAAAAUAACAAUAAAACUGAAAAUGAAACGGAAAACUGCUGUUAUUACAGACAGUUCGAAAAACAGUGGCCUAGAGUGGUGAUUCCCAGUCCUGGCUGCUCAACAGAACUACCUGGUGAGCUUUGACAACUCCCAGUAAUGAGGUUCAUUCCCAGGGAUUUUCAUUUAAUUGGCCUGGGGUGGGGCCAAAGCAUGGCUAGUUUUAGAAGCUUGCCAGGUAGUUCUAAUGUGUAGUGAGCGUUGAAAACUAGUGGUUUGGAUUCAGGUUGGCCUCAGCUGAGGCUUUAUCCAGUGGUCAGGAAUGUCACCAAGGCCUGGUGGUCUCAUAGCACUAAAUGGUCAUAUUAGAAAAGGAGAAAGAACUCAAAUCAAUGACCUCAGCUUCUACCUCAAGAAACUAGAAAAUGUUCAAGUUCUUCUGCUCUGACCUAAAAGGUGUAAAAAAAUAAAUGUAGGGGCCGGGCGCGGUGGCUCAGGCCUGUAAUCCCAGCACUUUGGGAGGCCGAGGCAGGCGGAUCACCUGAGGUCAGGAGUUUGAGACCAGCCUGGCAAACAUGGAGAAACCCCGUCUCUACUAAAAAUACAAAAUUAGCCAGGCGUGGUGGCGCAUGCCUGUAAUCCCAGCUACUCUAGAGGCUGAGGCAGGAGAAUCACUUGAACCUGGGAGGCAGAGGUUGUGAUGAGCUGAGAUCACGCCAUUGCACUCUAGCCUGGGCAACAAGAGCAAAAACUCAGUCUCAAAAAAAAAUUAAAAAAAAAAAUUUUAAAGAAACUAGAAAA